GACGAACGCUGGCGGCGUGCUUAACACAUGCAAGUCGAACGAAGAGCGACGGAAGCUUGCUUCUAUCAAUCUUAGUGGCGAACGGGUGAGUAACGCGUAAUCAACCUGCCCUUCAGAGGGGGACAACAGUUGGAAACGACUGCUAAUACCGCAUACGAUCUAAUCUCGGCAUCGAGGAUGGAUGAAAGGUGGCCUCUACAUGUAAGCUAUCACUGAAGGAGGGGAUUGCGUCUGAUUAGCUAGUUGGAGGGGUAACGGCCCACCAAGGCGAUGAUCAGUAGCCGGUCUGAGAGGAUGAACGGCCACAUUGGGACUGAGACACGGCCCAGACUCCUACAGGAGGCAGCAGUGGGGAAUCUUCCGCAAUAGACGAAAGUCUGACGGAGCAACGCCGCGUGAGUGAUGACGGCCUUCGGGUUGUAAAGCUCUGUUAAUCGGGACGAAAGGCCUUCUUGCGAAUAGUGAGAAGGAUUGACGGUACCGGAAUAGAAAGCCACGGCUAACUACGUG
rnacentral:rRNA from 1 species